rnacentral:rRNA from 1 species
GCUGGCGGCACGCCUAAUACAUGCAAGUCGAACGGAGUAGCAAUACUUAGUGGCAGACGGGUGAGUAACAUGUGGGUAUCUUCCCUUUGGUGAGGAAUAACACGAGGAAACUUGUGCUAAUACCUCAUAAGUCUUUACGGAGAAAGCUUUAUGCGCCAUUGGAUGAGCCCGCACUUGAUUAGUUUGUUGGUGGGGUAAAGGCCUACCAAGACUGUGAUCAAUAGCUGAUUUGAGAGGAUGAUCAGCCACAUUGGGACUGAGACACGGCCCAAACUCCUACGGGAGGCAGCAGUAGGGAAUCUUGCACAAUGGAGGAAACUCUGAUGCAGCGAUGCCGCGUGAGUGAAGAAGGCCUUUGGGUUGUAAAGCUCUUUCGUCGGGGAAGAAAAUGACUGUACCCGAAUAAGAAGGUCCGGCUAACUUCGUGCCAGCAGCCGCGGUAAUACGAAGGGACCUAGCGUAGUUCGGAAUUACUGGGCUUAAAGAGUUCGUAGGUGGUUAAAAAAGUUGGUGGUGAAAGCCCAGAGCUUAACUCUGGAACUGCCAUCAAAACUUUUUAGCUAGAGUAUGAUAGAGGAAAGCAGAAUUUCUAGUGUAGAGGUGAAAUUCGUAGAUAUUAGAAAGAAUACCAAUUGCGAAGGCAGCUUUCUGGAUCAUUACUGACACUGAGGAACGAAAGCAUGGGUAGCGAAGAGGAUUAGAUACCCUCGUAGUCCAUGCCGUAAACGAUGUGUGUUAGAUGUUGGAAAUUUAUUUUCAGUAUCGCAGCGAAAGCGAUAAACACACCGCCUGGGGAGUACGACCGC